GGGUUGGUGAGGGCAAUCUAGUCAACAUCUGUCACUCCAUUGCUUGUUAGGAUUAUUUUAGCCGAUUUGUCUGACUGGGCAGGUGUCCCCUCUCUCCCUCAGUGCUCCAUGUGCAUCCCUCUUGAAGCUUCGCACUCUGUUGAAGAGGACACUCAUCCCAGGUAGAGAGGGGGACGGGAAACUGGGCCAA
rfam:Callithrix jacchus chromosome 2, whole genome shotgun sequence